ensembl:rRNA 5S_rRNA 5S ribosomal RNA
GUCAACAGUCACGCCACCCUGAACAUGCCUGAUCUUGUCUGAUCUUGGAAGCGAGACAGGGUUGGGCUUGGUUAGUAGUUGGGUGGGAGAGAUACUAGGCACGCUGAUAAAACAGAGCUCUGGAUU